rnacentral:rRNA from 1 species
UACGUAGGGGGCAAGCGUUGUCCGGAUUUAUUGGGCGUAAAGAGCGUGUAGGCGGCUUUACAGGUCCGUUGUGAAAACUCGAGGCUCAACCUCGAGACGCCGGUGGAAACCGUAAAGCUAGAGUCCGGAAGAGGAGAGUGGAAUUCCUGGUGUAGCGGUGAAAUGCGCAGAUAUCAGGAAGAACACCCGUGGCUAAGGCGGUUCUCUAGUACGGUACUGACGCUGAGACGCGAAAGCGUGGGGAGCGAACAGG